GCUCGAAGGUGCUGGACAGUCGCCUCAAGUCACAACGCAGUGUGACCAGAGUUGUGAUGGCGGCGGUGAGAGCCCCGGCGCCUCUCCGGGAGGGUCGAGGAGGGACCCCCGAAGGACCCCGCUUGGCGCAGCAGUUCGGAGGAGGAAAGGAGGCUGGGGCGCGACGGCUUUGAAGAUGCGAUGACGAAAAGCCCCCAUCUGAAGGCGGCUUGCGGGCCACGCGGCAAAGCUGUCGGGGAGGGGCAGGGUGAAAGAGCUCGGGGAAAAUGAAGGAGGCGUGACAGUUUUGAGUAGCUGGAGAGGAAGCCGACUCAGGGACCAAGACGUAAACCCAAGGGCAGGCCGUUUUGGUUUUCUCACUAAUUGUGUCCCAAAUGCUUGGAAAGAUGACGAUGACACUUAACCCAGACUCCUCUGGUUUCAACUGGAUGUGGACGAUGCACGGGUGAUGGAGUUUUUUGCAAGCGACCCUCUUGCCCUUAACCUGUGUCCUGGGACAAAGCCACUGAAUUAAGCAUCUCGUCCUUUGCUCCCAAGUGAACUUUUUGGAGAAGUGUAUUCCAGCUGGGGCAAAAACCAUGGGUCUUGCUCAUUAGGGUGUCACCUAAGUCCCUGGGCUGGGAGGGUGACUGUUUGGCUUGGUAUGUCCCUAAUCCCACCUCCCUUGUUUGAUGCAUUUAUGCCUUGGAUCUCGUGAGGUCCUCUCAUCCUUUGGGGCUACAUUCUUCUGGCUCUUCCUUGGAGCCUGAAGCUUAUGGACACACAGGGCUUCUACUAACCUGGUCUACUCCGGAACUAGGGAUGCUUUGGCCUUGACUAUAUCUCCCUCAACUGUUUAAUCCGUGAAAGAAUUCCGAUUCAUUCCCAAACUCAUCUCCAUCAUCAUAUUCCUAAAGUGGAAACUCGACUUUGAGACGAUACCAACCUCCUUUGGAGCUUCCGGACAGUAGAGUUGAGGAAAGCAUGUCUACCUGCAUCCACCUAUCUGGUUACAGGAUCUCCCCAGAGAAGGAACCUGAUAGGAAAAAAACUCCUGCUGGAAGCCACAGUAUGAGAAGUUACAAGAUGAGACAGCAAAGAAAAACUGCACCUGAACCUCAGUGAGAAGGCCCUUACCAAGUACUGUUAACAACUAACACAACAGUAAACUUGUGCCUCCCAAGUCAGAAGACAUAAACCGCACCGAGUCCCUGGGAGGCUGUCCUGAGACCUCUAACAGCGACAUCUGAGGAUUCAUUCCAAAACAGACAAGGGCAGGAAGUUGCCCCUUCCACGCAAGACCAUUGGGACCACAGUGGUGACUGCCGCAAGUGUCACCAUCCUUCAAGAUCCACCAGAUGAGACCAUCAGAACCACCCACCACGGUGCCUUCAUCUCUAUAUAUUUUUGCUCCUUUGUUCUUCCCUCUCUGCAGAGUUAAGGUUUAAAUUGUUGACCCUUCUUACCUAUUAACCAUAGUAACUCCAGGGUCUUUAUCUUUCAUACUUUUUUUUGUUUGUUUUUAUUUUACCUUAGUCACUCCUCCGUAUGAGUCCAAGGCCAGGCUGCACUUUGUUUAUGAUGUGGCUACAACACGCAAUUACACUGUCUGCUGGGUUUGUACUUACUUUUCUUUGGGUGCCAUCCAACUUCCUUUGCUAUCAAUAGCAUGGAAUUAAUCAAAUUAUUUCCUAGGAGAUAAGACUCCACCAAGAAGUGAGCUGGGGGUGAAAAAAUAGGAUAACAGGUCAAAGAGAAUUCUAAAACCCCUGUCACCUCAUGCAUGGAAGGGAAAGUUUGGGGUUCUAAACAAAACAAUGCUCAGAAGCCUUUUGUUGAAAAUUAGCUUUUCCACCCAGGUUUUCACAAAAAGAAAGCCAGCAGUGAUAGUAAAAUGAGUGACAAGGAGGUGUUUUGAGAAAAUGGGACACAGUGAAAACAGAUGG
rnacentral:lncRNA from 12 species